GAAGAAGGCUUUCGGGUUGUAAAGCACUUUCAGCGAGGAGGAAGGCUCUAAAGCUAAUACCUUUAGGGAUUGACGUUACUCGCAGAAGAAGCACCGGCUAACUCCGUGCCAGCAGCCGCGGUAAUACGGAGGGUGCAAGCGUUAAUCGGAAUUACUGGGCGUAAAGCGCACGUAGGCGGAUCGGAAAGUUGGGGGUGAAAUCCC
rnacentral:rRNA from 16 species